ACAAUGAUAGCUCAGUCGGUAGAGCAUGAGACUCUUAAUCUCAGGGUCAUGGGUUCAAGUCAAAGAUUCCUACAUUGCA